AGCUUUUAAAGGGAUAGAGGAAUAGAGUUAACAUAAAAAUAAUUUCAAUGAUAAUUGCUUUGAAGGAAAAAAAAAAAGGCAGGGUUUGGGAGAUAGAAAGUAUUGAGAGUGCUCUUUUGGAUAGAGUGGAUGGAAUGCCCUUUCUGGGGAAGUGAUACUUAAGCAGAGGUCUGAAUGAAAAGGUCUAGGGAAGGGCAUUUCACUGAAAGGAGUUGCUCUGUAAGGGCUCUGAGACAUUGACCUAGCUUGGUGUGUUCAUGGAACAUUUAUCUGUGCAUCACCAGACUUAACAGUUGUUUCACUCAGAGUUUGUUAAAUUGAAUAACCUGUACUUGACUGCCCAUAUGUCUAAUAUCAUGCCUUUGUUUAUCAGUUUGUUGUUUCCAAAGUAAAGUGAACUGGGCUUUAUGUAAAUUAGCCCAUGACACUGGUCUCAUUAAGUAUGAUGCCCUAUUAACUUGUGCAAAUCACAUUUUUAUGAAAGUUGUAAUCCUUAUUUAACGUCCAAUGUUGUUUAGUCAUGCCAUUUUGGAUACAUGCACUUUGAUGGUGUGUGUGCAGUGGAUCUGCCACCACAGUGUUGGUUCCAAUUUGAUCAGCUCUCAUCUAUAAUGAAUGCUAGACAUACAGCAAAUUAAAACUAUUGUUGGUGACUAAUGACCAAAUACUGUUCAGUCUGCACCUAGGGCAUCAUUAUGACUUAACUGUGCCUGAAUAAUUGAAGAAUAAACUCACUGAUUGCCUAAUACGUCUGUAGAUUUGCCCAGAGACCUUAAGUUGAAGUGACUCUAAAGUGGUACUUGUAGUUAGCCCCAGGCAUUGCAUGUUGGCAAGCCUCAUUGAUUUGCUAAACUGUAUUGUUCUAGGUACAAGUUAAUGUUAAAAUUAAAUAAUUGAACUUGUGUGUAUGUGUUUAUAUAACAGUUCCCUACCAGAAAACCAAAUUUUAUACUCUACUUGGCUAAGUUUUAGUAAUUUGUUUGAGACAUUCUUAGAAUAAGCACAAAGCCUAUUAAGAAAUUUCUCUUAGAGCGCUAGGCUUGCUUGGUAAAUCUCAAUGAGUUUCAUAUAGACUUCAUUAUUGUUUUUAAAAUCAACCAUGCAGGCUUGGCCUUUACUGCUUACUGAACUGGCUACCUACUGUUUUUCCACUAGAUCUGUAUCUAAUUUAUGGUAAAAGGACCACAAAAAAUUAUUUAUGUUUUGGCACCUAGCACUAUUAUAGUUAAGGGUCUGUUGGCAUUUCCAUUAAAACGUUUUCUUAGAGAAGUUUAUAACUUGGCAGUUUUACUUGGCUUUGGGCUGAAACAUUGCUAUUUUUGUCCAAAAGCAAAUUCUUCUAUCAAAUUUCAUAUAACUGAAAUUGCCUUGGUUUAUAAUGUGUAGAGGGGGAAGGGCUAUCAGAAUAGGUUUUUCUUUCUGAUACUCUCACAAGUGCUUUGAUUAUACAAUAGUUUUGCAUGUGGCAUUUAUUCUUAUAUUUUAUUCUUCAGUAGGAAUUUAUUUUUGUUACACAAGAUGAACAAGUUCUAGAGCUCUGUUGUAUAACAUAGUGCCUACAGUUAACAAUACUGUGUUGAAUAUUAAAAAUUUGUUAAGAAGAUAGAUAUCAGGGUAAGUGUUCUUAACCACAAAGCAACCACCACCACCACAACACGUGGGUCAUGAGGAAACUUUUGUAGGUGAUGGAAAUAUUUAUCACCUUGAUUGUGGUCUUGGUUUUAUGGGUAUUUACAUAUGUUCAAACUCACCAAAUUGUAUACAUUAAAUAUGUGCAGUGUAUCACUUAUACCUCAAUAAGUCUGUUUGAUAAAUAUUUUUAAAAUGAUUUGAAAUAUGUUGGUAAAAUAAUUCAUAUUCAUGGCUUCCUGUCUUUAAAGAGGUAUAGUAUUAUUAUGUUUUUUAAAGUAAAUUUUGGCCAGGCGCAGUGGCUCACAUCUGUAAUCCCAGCACUUUG